UACGUAGGGUGCGAGCGUUUGUCCGGAAUUAUUGGGGCGUAAAGAGCUUGUAGGCGGUUUGUCGCGUCUGCCGUGAAAAUUCGAGGCUCAACCUCGAACUUGCGGUGGGUACGGGCAGACUAGAGUGUGGUAGGGGAGACUGGAAUUCCUGGUGUAGCGGUGAAAUGCGCAGAUAUCAGGAGGAACACCGAUGGCGAAGGCAGGUCUCUGGGC
rnacentral:rRNA from 1 species